rnacentral:rRNA from 1 species
AAUAGAUACCCGGGUAGUCCACGCCGUAAACGAUGAGUGCUAAGUGUUAGAGGGUUUCCGCCCUUUAGUGCUGCAGCUAACGCAUUAAGCACUUCGCCUGGGGAGUACGGUCGCAAGACUGAAACUCAAAGGAAUUGACGGGGGCCCGCACAAGCGGUGGAGCAUAUGGUUUAAUUCGAAGCAACGCGAAGAACCUUACCAGGUCUUGACAUCCUCUGACAACUCUAGAGAUAGAGCGUUCCCCUUCGGGGGACAGAGUGACAGGUGGUGCAUGGUUGUCGUCAGCUCGUGUCGUGAGAUGUUGGGUUAAGUCCCGCAACGAGCGCAACCCUUGAUCUUAGUUGCCAGCAUUUAGUUGGGCACUCUAAGGUGACUGCCGGUGACAAACCGGAGGAAGGUGGGGAUGACGUCAAAUCAUCAUGCCCCUUAUGACCUGGGCUACACACGUGCUACAAUGGAUGGUACAAAGGGCUGCAAGACCGCGAGGUCAAGCCAAUCCCAUAAAACCAUUCUCAGUUCGGA